CCUUCGAUAGCUCAGUUGGUAGAGCGGUGGACUGUAGAAGUUGUUUCAGCGCCGCACGUUGAGUAGUAGUUGUGUUUACUUGGGUGUGUUGAGGUUUGUUGUGUUGAGUCAGUAGUUAGUGCGAGAAAGCUUUGUGUUGUAAUUGCAAACAAUGCACACUUUCACUCCUUCUACUGUCUCAAUGCAAAGUUUCUCAGCUCUCCACCAACACACUCAGCAGCAUGUGUGUUUCAGUAAUCCAUAGGUCACUGGUUCAAAUCCGGUUCGAAGGA
rnacentral:tRNA from 1 species